UACGUAGGGUGCAAGCGUUGUCCGGAAUUAUUGGGCGUAAAGAGCUCGUAGGCGGUUUGUCGCGUCUGCUGUGAAAACUCGGGGCUUAACUCCGGGCCUGCAGUGGGUACGGGCAGACUAGAGUGCGGUAGGGGAGACUGGAAUUCCUGGUGUAGCGGUGAAAUGCGCAGAUAUCAGGAGGAACACCAGCGGCGAAGGCGGCGCUCUGGGCCGGUACUGUCACUGAGGAGCGAAAGCGUGGGUAGCAAACAGG
rnacentral:rRNA from 1 species